rnacentral:misc_RNA from 1 species
AAAAUUUUAUUAACGCACAUUCAAGUUUUAUAAAUAUAUUUUUUUAAAAGAAAAAAAAAGGUUAUUACAUUCUUUCCCUCUUAUGAAAAUUUGUUCCCAAAUUUUAAACAAACAGGGAAUAAAGAAAAGAAGAUUAUUGGAAUGAGUGCGAGCACUUAUUCUUCGAACUCUUUUAUGCUAUAGAAGAUGUUCUACCGCUCUCUGACUAUGCUGUAAUGUUGUAGUUAUCAUCAUCCUUUCGUAAUGAAACUCUUACCUUUAUUACUUGUUGACCUUUUUCUGACAUCUCUGGUACCUUCCAUGCUUUCUCUGAACUUUAAAAUAGUAACUUGUAAUACUAGUCUUUGUUUCCUUUUAUUGCUACUCUGCAUCACAAAGAUGU